rnacentral:rRNA from 1 species
AGUUUGAUGACGAGUGGCGGACGGGUGAGUAAUGCUUGGGAAUUUGCCUUGAGGUGGGGGACAACAGUUGGAAACGACUGCUAAUACCGCAUAUUGUCUACGGACUAAAGGGGGCUUCGGCUCUCGCCUUUAGAGAAGCCCAAGUGGGAUUAGGUAGUUGGUGAGGUAAAGGCUCACCAAGCCGACGAUCCCUAGCUGGUCUGAGAGGAUGAUCAGCCACACUGGAACUGAGACACGGUCCAGACUCCUACGGGAGGCAGCAGUGGGGAAUAUUGCACAAUGGGCGCAAGCCUGAUGCAGCCAUGCCGCGUGUGUGAAGAAGGCCUUCGGGUUGUAAAGCACUUUCAGUCGUGAGGAAGGGUUAGUAGUUAAUACCUGCUAGCUUUGACGUUAGCGACAGAAGAAGCACCGGCUAACUCCGUGCCAGCAGCCGCGGUAAUACGGAGGGUGCGAGCGUUAAUCGGAAUUACUGGGCGUAAAGCGUACGCAGGCGGUUAGUUAAGUCAGAUGUGAAAGCCCCGGGCUCAACCUGGGAACUGCAUUUGAAACUGGCUAACUAGAGUGCGGCAGAGGGUGGUAGAAUUUCAGGUGUAGCGGUGAAAUGCGUAGAGAUCUGAAGGAAUACCGAUGGCGAAGGCAGCCACCUGGGCCGACACUGACGCUCAUGUACGAAAGCGUGGGUAGCAAACAGGAUUAGAUACCCUGGUAGUCCACGCCGUAAACGAUGUCUACUAGCAGCUCGCCUCGUUAGAGGGGUUUUGCGCAGCU